AAUCUGAAUGGUCCAAAUUUCCUUCAGGGAAGAAGAAAAACAAUGUCCAUAAAGGAUUAAAAAAAUAAUAAAGAAGCAUGACUAUUUCUUCCAGAGUGGGUGACCCACAAGCUCAAAUGGUCCUAAGUGCUUAGCAACUUGUAUUUUCUAAUAAAAUGGAGAACUGCCUUGACUGUACAAAGCAAUCCAUGGUGAAAACACUUCCCUGAAUUCCUCAGUGGAAAGAAGAGGUGUU
rnacentral:lncRNA from 1 species